rnacentral:rRNA from 1 species
GACGAACCACACAAACGUUAUUCGGAAUUACUGGGCUUAAAGGGUGCGUAGGCGGCGCGGAAAGUAGGGUGUGAAAUCCCUCGGCUCAACCGAGGAAUUGCGCCCUAAACUACCGUGCUCGAGGGAGAUAGAGGUGAGCGGAACUUAGGGUGGAGCGGUGAAAUGCGUUGAUAUCCUAAGGAACACCGGUGGCGAAAGCGGCUACACUGGAUCUCUUCUGACGCUGAGGCACGAAAGCUAGGGUAGCGAACGGGG